GAUAAACGCUGGCGGCGUGCAUGAGACAUGCAAGUCGAACGAACGAGCUUGCUCGUUAGUGGCGGACGGCUGAGUAACGCGUAGGUGACCUGCCCCGAAGUGGGGGAUAACUGCCCGAAAGGGUGGCUAAUACCGCAUGUGGCGACGCUUUCAUUGGCGUCAUCAAAGCCGCGAGGCGCUUCGGGAGGGGCCUGCGUCCGAUUAGCUCGUUGGUGGGGUAAUGGCUCACCAAGGCGACGAUCGGUAGGUGGUCUGAGAGGACGAUCACCCAGACUGGGACUGAGACACGGCCCAGACUCCUACGGGAGGCAGCAGUGGGGAAUUUUGGACAAUGGACGCAAGUCUGAUCCAGCCAUUCCGCGUGCAGGACGAAGGCCUUCGGGUUGUAAACUGCUUUUGUACAGAACGAAAAGGUUUCUAUUAAUACUAGGGGCUCAUGACGGUACUGUAAGAAUAAGCACCGGCUAAC
rnacentral:rRNA from 1 species